CUUCACCGACCCCAGCAGCAGCGGCCGUUCCCGGUCCUGCCCGUAGGUCGCCAGCAGCGCUUGGGCCUC
rnacentral:antisense_RNA from 1 species